rnacentral:rRNA from 1 species
AACGAACGCUGGCGGCAUGCCUAACACAUGCAAGUCGAACGAGCCCUUCGGGGUUAGUGGCGCACGGGUGCGUAACGCGUGGGAAUCUGCCCUUGGGUUCGGAAUAACAGUGAGAAAUUACUGCUAAUACCGGAUGAUGUCUUCGGACCAAAGAUUUAUCGCCCAAGGAUGGGCCCGCGUAGGAUUAGCUAGUUGGUGGGGUAAUGGCCUACCAAGGCGACGAUCCUUAGCUGGUCUGAGAGGAUGAUCAGCCACACUGGGACUGAGACACGGCCCAGACUCCUACGGGAGGCAGCAGUGGGGAAUAUUGGACGAUGGGCGAAAGCCUGACACAGCAAUGCCGCGUGAGUGAUGAAGGCCUUAGGGUUGUAAAGCUCUUUUACCCGGGAUGAUAACGACAGUACCGGGAGAAUAAGCUCCGGCUAACUACGUG